rnacentral:rRNA from 1 species
UACGUAGGGGGCUAGCGUUGUCCGGAAUCAUUGGGCGUAAAGAGCGUGUAGGCGGUCCGGUAAGUCCGUUGUGAAAGUCAGGGGCUCAACCCCUUGAAUGCCGGCGGAUACUGUCGGGCUAGAGUCCGGAAGAGGCGAGUGGAAUUCCCGGUGUAGCGGUGAAAUGCGCAGAUAUCGGGAGGAACACCAGUGGCGAAGGCGACUACCUGGCCUGUUUCUUGACGCUGAGGCGGCGAAAAGCUGAGGGGAGCAAACGGGG